UCCUCAGACUGAGAUGAAGGAGCCUCUGUCUCUUGGGGCCCCUGCCUGAUUAGACAUGGCUGCCACAGCAGCUUCUCACUUGCACUCAGGCACUGAGAGAAGAAAGGCCCAAGGCCUCCGGGCUGAAAGUAGCUGGCCUGAGGUCUCAUCAGGGACUGGCCACCUGCCUUCUCAUCUCUCUCAAAAAGCAGCUGCCUGAGGACUCCAGGAUGACAGCAAACCGGAUGCCGCUCCAGUCACUCCUCUUGCUGAGCGUGAGCAUGUCAACUCUCAGCUCUCCCCUCUCCCUCCUCACCCCAUGCCCGCAGGAAGUAGCCAGACUUGAGUCAACGCCCCUUUAUCCGAAGAGAGCCUAAAAUGUUGGUCAUAAAUAUCACCUCAGCUUCUUGUUACACCCCUAUAUUCAAAGAGUCUGGAAUGUAAUAUUAAGUUGGGGGCAUCACCCAGCCCCUGGCAGUCAUCCUUGGGGUGCCAAUGGAGCAUCACUGAAGUGGAAAGCUCCAUCUCAGGCCCCACCCCCUGGAAGUUGCCUUGGGCCUGACUCCACCUCUGGGAAAGCCCGCCAAAUGCUGACCCCUCCCAAGGGAGGGUCAGGACCACUCCCACUGGCUCUUUAGGCUCCCAUGGCCACCCGAGAGCGCUGCAUUUAUUAAACGCGGCAUUUCUAAUUUGGUC